UUCUGCUAAACCGCUUGUUCCG
rnacentral:siRNA from 1 species